rnacentral:lncRNA from 1 species
GCCAUCUCACAGUAAGUAUUUAAUUCACAUCACAUUAUAUAAAAAGUUAAGAUCCAAAUCACAUCAUAAAAUAAAAUGGAUGACAAAUCAUACUAUAUAUUCAAUCUCUCAGCCUAAUUGUCCUCUAAACUAAAAUGACAGUACAAAAUAACGCCAACUCACGAGUUUGACACAACAAUAGUCAAGUUGAAGAGCAAUAUUUAGAUAACUAAAAACAACAUGUGUUGUCAUGAUGAUUGCAAUGUAUGAUUCAACAACUAUUUCCAUCACAAAAGGACGGUCUUCAUGACCCUUCUGGUUUGUACUAGGACUGUUGAGUUGCUUGUCGACGUGCUUGAGCCCUUAAUAGAAAACCAAUGACGUUAUCCUCUCAUGUUGCUUCUUUUGCCAUGCUUCAUUCUUCUCUUGCUCGCUCUUCUUCACAGCUUCCAAUUCUUCGUGUUGCUUCCUCUGCGUCUCUUCACAUGCUCUCGCUUGGUGGCAUUAUUUUAGUAACUGAAGAUGGAAAAGAUAAUAGAACUGAAUGAGUUGCAAAAAGACCAUCAGCCUACACUAGAUAAAUGGAUUCUGCAUAAACUUGUUUGGAAAUGGGCCUUAAAAGAUGCAGCCAUUUUAUAUGUGCAAAUGUAUUAUUCUGUAGCUUACAUCUGAAUAUAAUAAAGUAGAUAAGUUAGGAUGCAAACACAGGAUGCACUAAUAUUAUAUAUAAGUAAUAGUUAAAGUGAAAUUAAUGAAAAGCAUUUACCCUUUCUUGCACUAUGAGUAAGCAUAUGGGAGUACUUGUAACAUAACUGAUUACAUUGACUUACCUGUUAAAAGUUGGCUUCGCAUUGGUGCUAGACAAAAAGAACUAGAUUGCGUAAAAUAGACGUAAACAGGCAACACUGCCAACAAGCAGUUCCUGUCAAAUUAUAUAAAUAGAAAAUGAAGAUUUCAUUCAUUGUGAUCUAACAUGUGAAGCAAUCAACAUGCAUGAUGCAGCUGGGGCACAGUCAGGAAGAAGCAGACAACAAACCAUGAAAAACAAGAACAGAAUGUUCAGAAUAAAAACAUCAAAAAAUAUGAUUACUAUAGCUGCUGGCAUAGUUUAGAAAACCAGAAAAUUUACUAUACUCAUCCAAAAUUAGGAGCAGAUUGAUUUACCCAGUUUAGUAUGUCAUAAUAUAGUCAAAAAUUGAAGUUUACCAUGUAUCUACUUGUAUCAAGUUCUGGGCAUACUAAAAAUGCUUGUGGGCUUCAGAUGCUUAACAUCAUGGGUAGCUAAUCAAUUACGAGAGGCAUGGAAAAGAUUAAGUUAAUUCUAUUUUAUCUAGUAGUGGAGAGAAAAGUACACUGGUGCAGGGCUAUACAUCUCUGUAGCGAGUCAAAAUUAGGUGCAGGCUCAGUCUUUAUUCAGUUUUAACAACACUACUGAAGUACUAUUUAUGGGACAGCAGAACCAUAAGUUUCAGGUUUUAGCAUACAUAUAGUAGUUGCAUCCAGAAGCUAGUUUAUUCGUACAUGUAGAUACAAGGAUGUGCUGCUUCCUGCUUGUACUUGCAUACUUUAGUUCAUGUGUUUAUGUUCAUCUGAUUAUGACACCAUUCAGCGAACAAGAGGAUCUAGUUUUUGUCAUUACAGCAUUGUUCAAAAAUCAGAUGGUCAACAUAUAGUUUCCUUUUGUAUGCGAGAGUAGCCAUACGAGCACAUGGUUGCAAAAGAAAUCUCUCAGCUAAGGCCAUGCAUCUGAUAGCUAACUAAACAUUUGCACAACGGCUAACUGUACUGCAGUAGCAUAUAUUCAGGUUCAGGCCUUUUUACAAUAGCUGGCUAUAACAAAUGUAAUAGUGCAGUUUUACACACAUCUAUCAAUAGGAUAUCAAAAGUUAAUUGGCAAGAGGUUCAGGCUUUUUACCAUAGCAAGUUGUGGCAAAUCCUAAAUUACAUAGAAGAGCAGGAUGACGAGUAGUAUGCAUGAACCCGAAUCACUGAACAUCAAGCAGUGGCGACAUGAGGAGGGCAGGAUGAGUAAAUCACCGAGAGACAUCGCCCAUUGCAGGGGAGAAGAGAGUCGGGUGCUCGAGUCGGAUUGAUGCUGUGGAUCCAAGGUCGGCGGUGCGGCGGCCUCCUUUAAUCUGAAAAUUAAAGUUUCAAGUCCAAAUCAGAAGUACGACUUAAUUAAACUACAAAAGAUGCCUUUUGGUAGAUACCUGAAUCUUACAAAAACACAAUUUAGGACUUGUAUGCCACCAAUGUGUGAAGCCUGGCAGUUGCACUGUACAUCCAAAUAAAAUACAAUUGUACUAAAUAUAAGCCAUCCUGUGUUCCAUUAUCUAAAUCCUGGAUUUGAUGCUUCUCUGUACUUAUGUAAUAUACUUCUAGAAAAUUUGAGAUGGCCAAGACAUUGUUGUAUGAUGCUUUUGAGGAUCUGUUGCAAAAGCAGAAUGCACUGUGCUAUAUAUAUGAAUGCUCUACGCAUAUUUUUCACAGGUGCAAAGCCAAACAGGGCCUCCAAAAUAGGAGGGCCCCAAAUUCUUUUUAAUCAAAGUUCUAAAUUCAGCAUUAACUCCGCCUAUGUCUUCUAGGCAUAGCCGGUCCCAAGCCCGAGUAAAGGAGGAGGGUUGUGAUAGGCUUGGCGAGCCAACGUAAAAACUAGCCAGUCCCAUAGGUAUGAAACCCAUUUGAGCGAGAAUAGUACUAGGAUGGGUGACCUCCUAGGAAGUCCUCGUGAAAGGGUUUCAUAUCUAAGGGUUGUGAUAGGCUUGGCGAGCCAACGUAAAAACUAGCCAGUCUUUUGGGUAUGAAACCCAUUUGGGCGAGAGUAGUACUAGGAUGGGUGACCUCCUGGGAAGUCCUCGUGAAAGGGUUUCAUAUCUAGCCUACCCCAACUUGUUUGGGAUAAAAGGCUUCGUAAGUAAAGUAUUCUAAAUUCAGCAUUAGAUACUAAAGUAAAGCACUAAUGAAAAUAUUUUUUGCCAACCCAACCACUAUAUCUCUCUCUAAUCACAAUGCAUCAAAUCCUCUCAGCGCUUUAUAUCUGCCCUCUCUCUCACUUUCUAUUUGUUUGUCUUUUCUGAACCUGUGUAGUCAACCGGUGUAAUCUUUUGUCAAAAAACUGCAGCGACUGCAAAAAAUGAUUUGCUUUUUCACAUGUAGGGCCUAAUUUUCAUUUACAUGGACUCUGAUUUCUCUGGUGCGGCCCUGAAUAAAAUCCAUGAAAAAUAUGGUGCAUCCAGAAUUAAGUUAAAAAACAGAUCAAAUGUACAGUGUGAACUUAAUAUAAUGAACCCUAAUCAUUGCAGAUUACAAACUUUGGGAAAUCCUAAUUACCGAGAUGGGCCGGGAUGAGAAGUCUACACAUGAACCCUAUUCUUUAAACAAUAGGGGCUGGCAGGAUGGGGAGGGCGGAAUGAGGAAAUUACCUAGAGAGUCGUCGCUGGUGGCUUCAAUUGGGGAGACAAGAGGGUCGGGUUCUCAGGGGGAGGGUCGGUGCGGUGGAUCCCAUCUCGGCCGGUGGGGCGGCCUGCUCCAAUCUGCCGUCAUAGGUCGCUGCAAUCUGGGAGAAGAGGGGCUGCUCGCGGGGCAAGUUGUUGCGCUGGAUCCAAGGCCCGAGCACGGCCUGAGCGCAGGGCGGCCUCCCCAAAAGUGCCAUCGCCGGUCGCUGCAAUCUAGAGAAGAAGAGAGCCAGAUGAAUCUAGCUAUGAAGAAAAUUUGGGGUGGGUUGUGGAUGGAUGCGGGGGGGAAUUAGAG